rnacentral:rRNA from 1 species
AUGUGGACCUGUCUUCGUCAGCGCUAUGAGCCCUCUGGUGAUGCCUUAUACCUUUCUGUGGUUCGUCAGGAGCAUGCUUUUCAGCAGGGUGACUCUACUGUUGAUGACUUUUAUGCACAGAGUUCUGCUAUCUGGCGCCAGCUUGAUUCUCUCUGCAGUGCUGGCUGUCGUACUUGUCCCUGCUGCCAGGCUAUCCAGGCCGAUUUGGAGUUUCAUCGCGUCUACGAGUUCCUGUCUCGGCUCCGUAAGGAGUUUGAGCCCCGGCGUGCUCAGUUGUUUGCUCGUGGCCGUAUUUCUCUCAUGGAGGCGCUUUCAGAGAUUCGUGCUGAGGAGACUCGCCUACGUGGUGCUGGUUUGCUGGAGGUUCCCUCUGUGCUCGCUACUCGGGUUUCUUCCACUCCACCUGCUGCACCGCCCCAUUCUCGCUCGAGUGCUCCGCCGCUCUUGCCCACUCCUUCUGGCGGCUCAGGUCGCCCCCGUCCACACUGUGACUACUGCAACAAUGAUGGUCAUAUUGAGUCCCAGUGCUACACAAAGCGGAAACACCUGCGCAAGGCGCGCUCAUCCUCCUCAGGGCCUUCGUCAUCUCCCUCGCCAGCU